rnacentral:rRNA from 1 species
CAUAAGUGAGCCCGGAGACAUCGGUAUGAACUCCUGGAAGAGUUAUCUUUUCUUUUUAACAAUCUAUCGCCCUGAAAUGGGAUUAUCCCGAGCUAGGGCUUUAUGGUUGGCAGAGCAUCGCACUCUAUGCAAUGUCAGGUGCGUUCAUAACGAUCCUUGAAAAAUCCGGGUAAGAGAUUUAUUCUCACGCCAGGUCGUACCAAUAACCGCAUCAGGUCUCCAAGGUUAGCAGCCUCUGGUCAAUAGGAUAAUGCAGAUAAGGGAAUUCGGCAAAUUAGAUCCGUAACUUCGGGAAAAGGAUUAGGCUCUGAGGAUUGGAUUCAAGGGCCCAUUCAUGAAAGCUUAGCUGUCUUGGAACUGCGGAGGCAACGAAGUGGCUCAGGAUAGCGAACGCUGGAAUGGGUGGGACGUC